UGCUUAACACAUGCAAGUCGAACGCUGAAGCCUGGUGCUUGCACCGGGUGGAUGAGUGGCGAACGGGUGAGUAACACGUGAGUAACCUGCCCCUGACUUCGGGAUAAGCCCGGGAAACUGGGUCUAAUACCGGAUACGACUGCCGGACGCAUGUCUGGUGGUGGAAAGUUUUUUCGGUUGGGGAUGGGCUCGCGGCCUAUCAGUUUGUUGGUGAGGUAAUGGCUCACCAAGACGACGACGGGUAGCCGGCCUGAGAGGGCGACCGGCCACACUGGGACUGAGACACGGCCCAGACUCCUACGGGAGGCAGCAGUGGGGAAUAUUGCACAAUGGGGGAAACCCUGAUGCAGCGACGCAGCGUGCGGGAUGACGGCCUUCGGGUUGUAAACCGCUUUCAGCAGGGAAGAAGCGCAAGUGACGGUACCUGCAGAAGAAGUACCGGCUAACUACGUGCCAGCAGCCGCGGUAAUACGUAGGGUACGAGCGUUGUCCGGAAUUAUUGGGCGUAAAGAGCUCGUAGGUGGUUGGUCACGUCUGCUGUGGAAACGCAACGCUUAACGUUGCGCGUGCAGUGGGUACGGGCUGACUAGAGUGCAGUAGGGGAGUCUGGAAUUCCUGGUGUAGCGGUGAAAUGCGCAGAUAUCAGGAGGAACACCGGUGGCGAAGGCGGGACUCUGGGCUGUAACUGACACUGAGGAGCGAAAGCAUGGGGAGCGAACAGGAUUAGAUACCCUGGUAGUCCAUGCCGUAAACGUUGGGCACUAGGUGUGGGGGGCAUUCCACGUUCUCCGCGCCGUAGC
rnacentral:rRNA from 1 species